rnacentral:rRNA from 1 species
AACGAACGCUGGCGGCAUGCCUAACACAUGCAAGUCGAACGAGACCUUCGGGUCUAGUGGCGCACGGGUGCGUAACGCGUGGGAACCUGCCCUUAGGUUCGGAAUAACUCCCCGAAAGGGGUGCUAAUACCGGAUAAUGUCUUCGGACCAAAGAUUUAUCGCCUUUGGAUGGGCCCGCGUUGGAUUAGCUAGUUGGUAGGGUAAAAGCCCACCAAGGCGACGAUCCAUAGCUGGUCUGAGAGGAUGAUCAGCCACACUGGGACUGAGACACGGCCCAGACUCCUACGGGAGGCAGCAGUGGGGAAUAUUGGACAAUGGGCGAAAGCCUGAUCCAGCAAUGCCGCGUGAGUGAUGAAGGCCUUAGGGUUGUAAAGCUCUUUUACCCGGGAUGAUAAUGACAGUACCGGGAGAAUAAGCUCUGGCUAACUCCGUG